CUAAUACCGGAUAUGACCUUCCUCUGCAUGGGGGUUGGUGGAAAGCUCCGGCGGUGCAGGAUGAUCCCGCGGCCUAUCAGCUUGUUGGUGGGGUAAUGGCCUACCAAGGCGACGACGGGUAGCCGGCCUGAGAGGGCGACCGGCCACACUGGGACUGAGACACGGCCCAGACUCCUACGGGAGGCAGCAGUGGGGAAUAUUGCACAAUGGGCGAAAGCCUGAUGCAGCGACGCCGCGUGAGGGAUGACGGCCUUCGGGUUGUAAACCUCUUUCAGCAGGGAAGAAGCGCAAGUGACGGUACCUGCAGAAGAAGCACCGGCUAACUACGUGCCAGCAGCCGCGGUAAUACGUAGGGUGCGAGCGUUGUCCGGAAUUAUUGGGCGUAAAGAGCUCGUAGGCGGCUUGUCACGUCGGGUGUGAAAGCCCGGGGCUUAACCCCGGGUCUGCAUUCGAUACGGGCAGGCUUGAGUGUGGUACGGGAGAUCGGAAUUCCUGGUG
rnacentral:rRNA from 1 species